rnacentral:rRNA from 1 species
AGAGUUUGAUCCUGGCUCAGGAUGAACGCUAGCUACAGGCUUAACACAUGCAAGUCGAGGGGCAGCAUGAACUUAGCUUGCUAAGUUUGAUCGGCGACCGGCGCACGGGGUGAGUAACACGUAUCCAACCUGCCGAUGACUCGGGGAUAGCCUUUCGAAAGAAAGAUUAAUACCCGAUGGCAUAGUUCUUCCGCAUGGUGGAACUAUUAAAGAAUUUCGGUCAUCGAUGGGGAUGCGUUCCAUUAGGUUGUUGGCGGGGUAACGGCCCACCAAGCCUUCGAUGGAUAGGGGUUCUGAGAGGAAGGUCCCCCACAUUGGAACUGAGACACGGUCCAAACUCCUACGGGAGGCAGCA